rnacentral:lncRNA from 1 species
AACAAAACCAAAAUUGCUCUUCUAAAAAAAGGCAAGAGGACCGACUCAUGGUGCUGGUAUAGAAACAUGGAAAAAUGAUACCUGAGCUACCGUGUGAGACGUCAGACUGCCCUACAAAUGGCAUGCUUGAGAGGCCUCUCACAAGUGCUCCAAGUGAGAUGCCAGUCAUGCCCCAGCCUUCCAGUAACCCCCACUAAGACACCUGACAUGUGAGUGAAACCAUCUUGUCUAGCCAUUCAGUCUAGUCCAUCUGCUAGUUGGGUACCACCAAGCGUCCUCAGUAAAUGCAAUAUGGAACAGAAGAAACUUCCAGGUGACUCCAGAAUUCCCAAUCUGUUAAACUGUGACAAACUGAAAAAUGACAACGAUGACACCACCGCCACCACCACCACUGGUAACAAUAACAAGGCUGCUGUUUUAAGCCACUAAACUUUGGGAUAGUUGAUUACAUAUAGCAAUAGGCAACUGAGAAGAAAUAUGCAAUUGAAUGAAAAAAUAUAGAGAUACACAAACCCCAACUGUGAAGAACACCUGUGAGAGGACAAAAAGAUGUAAAGAGAAUUGCUUUCGUUGUUGGAAGUUCCUAGAAAAUGCUUAGUGAUAAGUGCCUCAGAUUAUGCAUUCUUGACACAGGCAAAAAUACAGCAAGGAAGGAUGAAUUAUUCUGCUAAAAGUAAUGGUCUGGAGUCAAGAAAUGAAGAGGGCAAGCAAUGUUUCUGGCAUCCCAACUACAGUUACAUCCAGUUUGAAGCUGCUGCAAUGGCAGCUCAAUGGAGUGGCUAGGAACACCAACUCCAGGAUCAGGGCCCGGGUGUGGGCACCCGAAGGAAUCUCCUGGUCUGAGGGAUGUGAAGACCAUGGGAAAAGCAUAGUGUCUGGGCAAGAAUGA